UACAGAGGUCUCAACCGUUGUUCGGAUUCAUUGGGCGUAAAGGGUGCGUAGGCGGUCGCGUAAGUCAGGUGUGAAAUCCCGGGGCUCAACCCCGGAACUGCACUUGAUACUGCGUGGCUAGGGUACUGGAGAGGAGACUGGAAUUCCCGGUGUAGUGGUGAAAUGCGUAGAUAUCGGGAGGAACACCAGUGGCGAAGGCGACUACCUGGCCUGUUCUUGACGCUGAGGCGCGAAAGCUAGGGGAGCAAACGGG
rnacentral:rRNA from 1 species